rnacentral:rRNA from 1 species
AGUGAACGCUGGCGGUAGGCCUAACACAUGCAAGUCGAACGGCAGCACAGUAAGAGCUUGCUCUUACGGGUGGCGAGUGGCGGACGGGUGAGGAAUACAUCGGAAUCUACUUUUUCGUGGGGGAUAACGUAGGGAAACUUACGCUAAUACCGCAUACGACCUACGGGUGAAAGCAGGGGAUCUUCGGACCUUGCGCGAUUGAAUGAGCCGAGGUCGGAUUAGCGAGUUGGCGGGGUAAAGGCCCACCAAGGCGACGAUCCGUAGCUGGUCUGAGAGGAUGAUCAGCCACACUGGAACGGCGACACGGUCCAGACUCCUACGGGAGGCAGCAGUGGGGAAUAUUGGACAAUGGGCGCAAGCCUGAUCCAGCCAUACCGCGUGGGUGAAGAAGGCCUUCGGGUUGUAAAGCCCUUUUGUUGGGAAAGAAAAGCAGCAGGUUAAUACCCCGCUGUUCUGACGGUAACCAAAGAAUAAGCACCGGCUAACUUCGUG